ACCCACAACCUCAUGGAUACUAGUCAGAAUCGUUUCCACUGCACCACAAAGGGAACUCCUGACAGUUUCUUUAUUCUCCCACUCCCAACACACACACACAUCUUUCUAUUGAUGACAAAAGCACUCCUCAGUCCCAGAGGCUGGCAUGAAUUUACAUCACACCAAUAUUUUUAGAAUCAUCACCUGCAAAGAUAAGCCUGCUUGUUUGUCUUGUCACAGUAGGAAGAUGACUGCCCCUGCAUGAGAUUUCCCACUCCCCUUUAUCUGGGCCUCUGUAACAGCAUGGACCUCCCUGCUUCCACCAUCAGAAUCCCUCAAGGGCAAGAGUCAAAUCUCAAGCAUCUUUGUACCCCAGUACUCUAUGUACUCUGGUGCCUAGUACAUAGUAGAUGCUCAAUACAUGUUUAUUAAUGAAUGGAAUGGUGAUUGGACAAGUUGAUGAAUGAAAAAUGAAUACAUGGUUUGAUGGGUGAGUGAGGGUUAUCGAUAGGUAGAUGAGGGGAUAGAUAGAUGUUUGGGUGGAUGGAUGGAGAGAUGGAUGAAUAGAUAAUUGACUGGGCAGAUGAUGGAUGGUUGGAUGCUAGGUAGAUAGAUGAGCAGUUGGUGAUGAAUAAGUGGAUAAAUAAUUUAUCUUCCUUGCAGCCUUAGGACAAUAAUACCUACUCUCAUUAUCUCCUAAGUAAAGGCCAUGCUGAGAAAUAAUAAUAGUUGCAUAACGUAGCGGGGAGAAAAAAACUUGGGGUCAACAGGUCCGGGUUCUACUCCUAAUUUCACCACAUAGUAGCUGUCUUGACUUGAACACAUCCCUAACUCCUCUGGGCCACCUUCUGUUCAGGCUAAAGUGACAGUGAUUCCCACCACACGAAUCUAGUGGUUGUUAUACAAGAUAAAAUACUAUAUAAAUAACAGUGCUUUGUCCCAGCAAGUGAUGCUGGUUAAAAUGAUGGGCGCUAUAAGUAGCUCUCACCUGGCCGUUGUCCAUAGGUGGGAAUAUAACAUGUCUCUCCAUUAAGCUUUGCAAUCCUGAACCCUAAUCCUCUGCACUCAGAUUCCCCAGUUCCCUAGACUAGGGGUGGCCCACUUGCUCAUCUCCCUCCAGCCACAUCCUAUAGCACCUGUGCCCACGGGAAAUAUGCAGGCAAAGUCCCCGGGACCUAAGCCCACUGUUGUAGGCAAAGCAGGGAGAUGCCUGGGGAAGGCCACCUAGAAGUGCCCUGGGUGAAAGCACACCUUCCCAAGUGCUCCUGUAUUUCUUAGAAAGGUGAUGGCUACAUCCACAAGGCCAAAACCAUUCGUUCAAGCGUCACUUAUUCACUGCGUCCUGUGUGUCAGGCACUGGGAAACAAAGCUGAAUAAAUGCUGGCCCCUGCCAUACAUGAACCCCACUGGUCUGUGCCCUCAGUCGAUCCCUCAAGGGCCUUGUCUGGUCCUGGAGUUCAAGUUCAACCUUGACCACACAGGACCUGGCAGAGUCCAAUACACAGGAGGUGUUCGUGUCACUUCUGCUGCACGAAAGGAGUUCCGUCUAAUGGGGGAGGGAGACCAGCCCACAACAAUUUCACUGGCCACCUACAGAGAGAACUAGAAAAACAAAGGAAGGGCAUCAAUUCAAAACGGGCAAGGUUGGCUCCCCAGAGGAGGUGCCACCUAAGCUGAGUUUGGAGACAGAGAAGAAACAUCAAGGAGGAGGUGGGAGGAGACAGCGUUUGGCAGAAACAAGCUUUUCUCUCUGCCUAACUUCCACCUGCCGCCCUUUGCACAGCUGAUGGGUUUUGUUUUGUUUUGUUCCUUUUUAGGGCUGCACCUGCGGCAUAUGGAAGGUCCAGGCUAGGGGUCAAAUCAGAGCUGUGGCUGCCAGCCUACACCACAGCCACAGCAACCCCGGAUCCUUAGCCCACAGAGCGAGGUCAGGGAUCAAACCCAUGUCCUCUUGGAUACUCGUUGGGUUCUUAACCCACCGAGCCGCAGCAGGGACCCGCACUGACAGAGUUUUUCCUCUCCCAGAGGAAAACAACCUUCAGGGGUCCCACAGAAAGGCCAGUGUGAGCCGUCUGUUCCCUUCACGAGAGCCACCUGUCUGGAGGGCCGGCGGGAACGCACCGUGGCCAUUCCUGCCUGGAUUGAUGAAAAAAGAGAGGGGGUCUCCGAUUCUGACAAAGGGCAGUGACAGGAGGUGAAGAGAGGGUGGAGCAGGUCCUGGGAGGAACCACUUCCAUUCCCGGAAUUUUCUGCAGCUGAGAGCUGGGGCCAGAGUCCAUGGGGCCCAGAGGCAGCCUCUCCUCUGGCUCAGGUUAACUCUGAACAAAGGCACAGAGAGCGCUCACCCUGGAACCUUACGUGCCUCGGAUUUCAGAACAGAUCCAGGGGAACUGCCUCUACUCACCUCUUCUUUGCAUCUCUGAGUCUGGAUUGGGAUCGCUGGACGGCAUGCUGGCCUCCCAUUAGGGCUCCUUCAGGGCAGAGACCAAGUCUCUUCCACCUUCGUAUCCCCAGCAGAGCAAGGCGCCAAGCCACUGCGGGAUUGACUCCCUUCAACAGGAUGAGAAAGUCAAGGUUGCUCCUCAGCUGAAAGCUCCUUUGGGACCUGAGCAUGCUCCCUCUGCAUGAAAAACCACUCCCUUCUUUCUGUUUGCAAAGGGCUUUCACGUGCACUUUAUCACACGCCUUUCCCACCACCCUGGGAGCAGGUAUUAGUCAGUCUAC